rnacentral:tRNA from 1 species
GGAGAGGUGGCUCAGUGGUUAAGAGCACUGACUGCUCUUCCAGGAGUCCUGAGUUCAAGUCCCAGCAACCACA